AACUUCUCGAGUAUAAAACAAAAGAUUUCAUUAAUACUGUUUUUAUUCCUAGGUAACAGAUGCUGUGACCCAACUGCCGGGAGAAAGUGCACCUGGGCCCAUUAACAUUUUAAUGGGUUAUUAUUUGUCUCUGUGCAUCUGCAUCUGCUGGCGUUUUCGGGAGUUUCGUGGCUUUCGGGAGGGGUAAUUUGCGGUUGGCCUUAUAAAUUGGAGCGACCACAACACGCACAUAAAAGCAGGCAUACAGACACAGAAAUCAACCAUUCGACGCAGGCGGCGCGCGAAGAAAGCUGGAAAAUUUUGAAGUAACAGAAAAGUUGCCUCCAGAGUCUUAAGAGGGGCGUUUGGGGCCAGGGGCGUGGCAAGCCAGAAAAUUUCUCAAUUCAAGUCCUCAAAUGAGAAAAAGCACAGUGGCGAUAGCAAGGCAAAUUUGACUGCAAAUCUGAGAGCAUACUAAAGUUCGAUAAU
ensembl:ncRNA lncRNA:CR45259 long non-coding RNA:CR45259